rnacentral:tRNA from 1 species
GGAUUUUGGCUCAGAGGUAAAGCGCUCGCCUACCAUGCAUGGGGCACUGGGUUCGAUCCUCAAUACCA